rnacentral:rRNA from 1 species
UGUAGCAUUACUUAAUUUUUUUUUUGGAUUUAGUUGAUAAGUAUAAUUAUAUAUUUAAAUAAGAUAUUUAUUAGGUGAAAUUUUAAAUUUUUAUAUGAGUAUAUUGCUGUUGUUUUGGCUUUGAAGUUUACUAAUAAACUAGGAUUAGAUACCCUAUUAUUAUAAAUGUGAAAUUUUUAUCUAGAUUAGUAUUAGUUAUGAUCUUGAAAAUUAAAGAUUUUGGCGGUAUUUUAUUCUUUUCAGAGGAACCUGUCUAUUAAUCGAUGAUCCACGAUUUUUUCUACUUUUUCUAUGUUUAUAUAUCGUCGUUAUUAAAUAUUUUUAAAAAAAAAUAAUUUUUUAAAUUUUCAUGAAAAAGAAGAUCAGAUCAAGGUGUAGCUAAUGAAAAAGGUAAUGAUGGGUUACAUUAAGUUUAUAAGAGGAUUGUUUUAUUAAAUAAAACAUGAAUUAGGAUUUGAUUGUAAUUUUGAUUAAUUUAUUAUGAUGAUUAUAGCUCUAAAAUAUGCACAUAUCGCCCGUCGCUUUCACCUUAAAGUGAAAUAAGUCGUAACAAAGUAGGCUUACUGGAAAGUGAGCCUGGAAAGGCGGGCUGGAGCUUGAUUAAAGCGUUUUAUUUACAUUAAAAAGUUAUUUGUUAAAUUCAAUUUAGCUUGAAUUUUUUUUUAUUAAUUUUUUUUUAUGAUAAUUUUUUCUUAAAAUUAAAUUUUUAAUUUUUAUUAUACUAUAGAAAAAAUUUUUUUAUUUAUAGUUUAUUUUUACUGUGAAGGUUUUAAUUGUAAUAGUUUAAAGGAUAAUUAAUUUU